AUUGAACGCUGGCGGCAGGCCUAACACAUGCAAGUCGAACGAGUGGCGGACGGGUGAGUAAUGUCUGGGCAACUGCCCGAUGGAGGGGGAUAACUACUGGAAAAGGUAGCUAAUACCGCAUACCAUCGGAUGUGCCCAGAUGGGAUUAGCUAGUAGGUGGGGUAACGGCUCACCUAGGCGACGAUCCCUAGCUGGUCGGAGAGGAUGACAAGCCAAACUGGAACGGAGACACGGUCCAGACUCCUACGGGAGGCAGCAGGGGGGAAUAUUGGACAAUGGGCGCAAGCCUGAUGCAGCCAUGCCGGGUGUAUGAAGAAGGCCUUCGGGUUGUAAAGUACUUUCAGCGAGGAGGCGUUACUCGCAGAAGAAGCAACGGCUAACUCCGUGCCAGCAGCCGCGGUAAUAC
rnacentral:rRNA from 1 species